rnacentral:tRNA from 7 species
CGGGACGUAGCGCAGCCUGGUAGCGCGCUACACUGGGGGUGUAGAGGUCGCAGGUUCAAAUCCUGUCGUCCCGA